UAGGGAAUCUUCGGCAAUGGACGAAAGUCUGACCGAGCAACGCCGCGUGAGUGAAGAAGGUUUUCGGAUCGUAAAACUCUGUUGUUAGAGAAGAACAAGGACGUUAGUAACUGAACGUCCCCUGACGGUAUCUAACCAGAAAGCCACGGCUAACUACGUGCCAGCAGCCGCGGUAAUACGUAGGUGGCAAGCGUUGUCCGGAUUUAUUGGGCGUAAAGCGAGCGCAGGCGGUUUCUUAAGUCUGAUGUGAAAGCCCCCGGCUCAACCGGGGAGGGUCAUUGGAAACUGGGAGACUUGAGUGCAGAAGAGGAGAGUGGAAUUCCAUGUGUAGCGGUGAAAUGCGUAGAUAUAUGGAGGAACACCAGUGGCGAAGGCGGCUCUCUGGUCUGUAACUGACGCUGAGGCUCGAAAGCGUGGGGAGCAAAC
rnacentral:rRNA from 1 species